rnacentral:rRNA from 1 species
AUUGAACGCUGGCGGCAUGCCUUACACAUGCAAGUCGAACGGCAGCACGGGUGCUUGCACCUGGUGGCGAGUGGCGAACGGGUGAGUAAUACAUCGGAACGUACCUUAGCGUGGGGGAUAACAAAUUGAAAAAUUUGCUAAUACCGCAUAAUACUCUGAGGAGGAAAGCGGGGGAUUCGUAAGAACCUUGGGCGAUUAGGGCCGCCGAUGGCUGAUUAGCUAGUUGGUGAUGUAAAAGCUCACCAAGGCGAUGAUCAGUAGCUGGUCUGAGAGGACGAUCAGCCACACUGGGACUGAGACACGGCCCAGACUCCUACGGGAGGCAGCAGUGGGGAAUUUUGGACAAUGGGGGCAACCCUGAUCCAGCAAUGCCGCGUGAGUGAAGAAGGCCUUCGGGUUGUAAAGCUCUUCUGUCAGGGAAGAAACAGCAGCUCUAACACAGUCUGCGAAUGACGGUACCUGAAGAAUAAGCACCGGCUAACUACGUGCCAGCAGCCGCAGUAA